rnacentral:rRNA from 1 species
AUGGAUCAGGAGCUGAUCGAGCACGUUGAGGCCAAAGUGAGUGCUGACAGCCCGAGAUCUCACCCUCUCAUCGAUUUGUUCAUACCAACCAUCGACAGCGAGCACGGCAUAUGCUACACCCAACCUGAGAAACUUCCAGGUAUCACAAUGAGUGGCCUAAGGAAGCAUUUCUUCCAGUGCAAUUCCACGGCGUUCAAAAGGGGCACGUGGAUGCGUCGCAAGAUACCGUCGGAGUGCGGCAUGCACGCGAUGUGGCGCAAGACCGGAAAUACCUUGCCGGUGAUGGUCAACGUCCAGCAGACGGGCAGCAAAAAUGUUCUGGUGCUGCACACCAACAACAACUUCGACCAGCAGAGGACCAACUGGGUGAUGCACCAGUACCACCUCGGGGACCUGGAGCAAGAGAAGGAGCGGGAGCUGGUCCUUUGCAAGAUUUUGUAUCAGACGAACACUAGGGCCAGGAGUAAAAAGAUUAUAAGUUAG